GACGAACGCUGGCGGCGUGCUUAACACAUGCAAGUCGAACGGAAAGGCCCUGCUUUUGUGGGGUGCUCGAGUGGCGAACGGGUGAGUAACACGUGAGUAACCUGCCCUUGACUUUGGGAUAACUUCAGGAAACUGGGGCUAAUACCGGAUAGGAGCUCCUGCUGCAUGGUGGGGGUUGGAAAGUUUCGGCGGUUGGGGAUGGACUCGCGGCUUAUCAGCUUGUUGGUGGGGUAGUGGCUUACCAAGGCUUUGACGGGUAGCCGGCCUGAGAGGGUGACCGGCCACAUUGGGACUGGGAUACGGCCCAGACUCCUACGGGAGGCAGCAGUGGGGAAUAUUGCACAAUGGGCGGAAGCCUGAUGCAGCAACGCCGCGUGCGGGAUGACGGCCUUCGGGUUGUAAGCCGCUUUCGCCUGUGACGAAGCGUGAGUGACGGUAAUGGGUAAAGAAGCACCGGCUAACUACGUGC
rnacentral:rRNA from 1 species